AGCAGCCGCGGUAAUUCCAGCUCCAAUAGCGUAUAUUAAAGUUGUUGCAGUUAAAAAGCUCGUAGUUGAAUUUCGGGGUCAGUAGAUUGGUCGUGCCACUGGUAUGCACUGGUCUUACUGACUCCUCCUUCCUGAUGAACCGUAAUGCCAUUAAUUUGGUGUUGCGGGGAAUUUGGACUGUUACUUUGAAAAAAUUAGAGUGUUUAAAGCAAGCUAACGCUUGAAUACAUUAGCAUGGAAUAAUGAAAUAGGACGUUCGAUCCUAUUUUGUGGUUUCUAGGAUUGACGUAAUGAUUAAUAGGGAUAGUUGGGGCAUUAGUAUUCAAUUGUCAGAGGUGAAA
rnacentral:rRNA from 1 species